AACGCAUCUUGCGCUCUCUGGUAUUCCGGAGAGCAUGUCUGUUUGAGUGUCAUGAACUCUUCAACCCUUCAGUUUCUAGUGAAUUGUAAGGAGUUUGGAUUUUGAGCGUUGCUAAUCUGAUUAGCUCGUUCGUAAUGUAUUAGCAUCUCGAAAUCGAAAUUCGGAUUGACUCAGUGUAAUAGACUAUUCGCUGAGGACACUUUUUUAUUAAGGUGGCCGAACUAGAAAAAGUUGGAAGCUUCUAAUGCUGUUAGUCACAACAUUUUUCAAUUAGACCUCAGAUCAGGCAGGAUUACCCGCUGAACUUAA
rnacentral:misc_RNA from 1 species